CUGCACCAACUGAGGCCUAUUAAGCGUGUUGCUUUUGAAGGGCCUAUAACAGGAAGGCGUUUCUAUGGCUGCCCAGUCCAGGAAAAUGGUGUGAAUUGUGGUGUUGUAGAGUGGGUUGAUGGGCCUUGGCCAACUGUUCUCCAGAGAUGUCUGUGCAAGCUAUGGGAGAUGUUCCAUGAGCAGAACUUUGGAAGGGUACAGGACAAGCAAAAGUUUGAGAAGGAGUUGGCCAGGCUUAAGACUGAAAAUGACAAGCUUUGCAUUGAGUACACCAAGCUUGUUGAUGAUGUAUCCAAGAUGUUUGAUUGGCAGGAUGGUAGGGUGGACAAGAAGGUGUACCAGAAACAAGUGGAGGAGGAAGAACUUGAGAAGAAGAAGAAGGAGCUAGAGGAGAAAGCUAUGUUGGAGGUGAAGAUGGAAAAGCUCAAACUUGCAAAAGAGCAGAGGUGCAUUUUGCAGAGCCAAGCUGAUAUCAUCAAGAACACGAGGAAGGCUAUGAAGGCUGUUGAAGUUGACAGAGAUGUUCUUAAGAAGGAGAAGGCAAAGCUUGAGCUUGUUGUUGCUGAGCUGCUGAAAGAAGGGUAUGGCAGCAAGGAGAAGUUAGAGCAAAUCAAGGCCAUCCUUGAAUCUUGA
rnacentral:rRNA from 1 species